rnacentral:rRNA from 1 species
UACGAAGGGGGCUAGCGUUGUCCGGAAUCAUUGGGCGUAAAGCGCGUGUAGGCGGCCCGGUAAGUCCGCUGUGAAAGUCCAGGGCUCAACCCUGGGAUGCCGGUGGAUACUGUCGGGCUCGAGUCCGGAAGAGGCGAGUGGAAUUCCUGGUGUAGCGGUGAAACGCGCAGAUAUCAGGAGGAACACCAAUGGCGAAGGCAGCUCGCUGGGACGUGACUGACGCUGAGACGCGAAAGCGUGGGGAGCAAACAGG